UACGGAGGGGGCUAGCGUUGUUCGGAAUUACUGGGCGUAAAGCGCACGUAGGCGGCUUUGUAAGUUAGAGGUGAAAGCCCAGGGCUUAACCCUGGAAUUGCCUUUAAGACUGCAUCGCUAGAAUCGUGGAGAGGUGAGUGGAAUUCCGAGUGUAGAGGUGAAAUUCGUAGAUAUUAGGAAGAACACCAGUGGCGAAGGCGGCCCACUGGAUCGGUACUGACGCUGAGGUGCGAAAGCGUGGGGAGCAAACAGG
rnacentral:rRNA from 1 species